GACCGCAUCAGUUCCCAAGUGUGCAGUAGGGAGCAUAUGUCUUUGAAGAAGCCGGAAUGUUGUUUUGUCUUGUUUGUCUUUUUUUGCCUUUUCUAGGGCCCCUCCCGCGGCAUAUGGAGAUGAGGUUCCCAGGCUAGGGGUCUGAUCGGAGCUGUAGCCACCGGCCUACGCCAGAGCCACAGCAACGUGGGAUCCGAGCCUCGUCUGCCACCUACACCACAGCUCAGGGCAGCGCCGGAUACUUCACCCACUGAGCAAGGCCAGGGAUCGAACCCGCAACCUCAUGGUUCUUGGUCCGAUUCGUUAACCACUGUGCCCGAUGGGCCAAAGAAGCCUGAAUGUUUGUUUGUACGAGGACUUGGGAGAUCUUCCAUGAAAAGCUGGCGCCUUUUCCAAAGGGGUCUUCGCCGUGUUCUUUUGGGGAAACGGACUCAACGCUGCCUUCUGUCUGCGUGCCUGCGGUCCCCAACGGCAGGAAGACCUGUGGCCGCAGUGCAGAGGAUGCUGUGACACUCACCGUGUUUUCUCUUGUCUCAUCACAGGUGGACGGGGCGGACGAUGAAAUCUCUUGGAGCUUGGAGAGUGUGUGUGAGAGCGACCUCGCUGACAGCAACCUCGCAGAAAGUGAUCGAGACUCGGUGGCGGAGCGCACCGACUGCCGCCAGGAUGAGGAGGCUGCAGACUGUUGCUUUGGGAGCAAAGGAUCGUGCUUCAAAAGUCUGAGGACAAGUUUGUCCUCUGCGAGCUUGGCUAGAAUAAUUCCCCGGUGGCCACACAACAGGGUGCACCUUGCCACUGAGCCAGAUGAAGGAACUCACGACGACGAUGUUGUGGAGGCCGGUGGGAGUGAGAAGACUGAGGCAAAGCCCCGGGCUGGGGGACAUGAGGACGAGGCGGCCCCAGUACCUGAGGUGGAGGUGGAGGAGGAGGCGGGCCAGCCCCGUGAAAAUGGCCAGGAGGAGUCCUUAGCCAUCGCCUGGGCUGAGCCGGAAGACGAGCCUGGCCCCAAGGUGGACGGGGCGGACGAUGAAAUCUCUUGGAGCUUGGAGAGUGUGUGUGAGAGCGACCUCGCUGACAGCAACCUCGCAGAAAGUGAUCGAGACUCGGUGGCGGAGCGCACCGACUGCCGCCAGGAUGAGGAGGCUGCAGGAACUCACGACGACGAUGUUGUGGAGGCCGGUGGGAGUGAGAAGACUGAGGCAAAGCCCCGGGCUGGGGGACAUGAGGACGAGGCGGCCCCAGUACCUGAGGUGGAGGUGGAGGAGGAGGCGGGCCAGCCCCGUGAAAAUGGCCAGGAGGAGUCCUUAGCCAUCGCCUGGGCUGAGCCGGAAGACGAGCCUGGCCCCAAGGUGGACGGGGCGGACGAUGAAAUCUCUUGGAGCUUGGAGAGUGUGUGUGAGAGCGACCUCGCUGACAGCAACCUCGCAGAAAGUGAUCGAGGUAAGAACAGCUCUCAGGUAGGAGCCAGUGGGAGAGGGUUCCCGGGACACUUGGAACUUAGGCCUGCUGCUUGGAGGGUGGGGCGGGUGAGUGUGCAAUUGCAAAAGAGAAAGAAAUUGGUGUAAAGAUGUUCGUCGCCUAUGUUCCUAAGGAGGGGGAGCAGGUAUGAGAUGCCCGAAUGUUGGCAUCUGUGCUCACGUUGUGUUGGCGGGCCUCAGUC
rnacentral:lncRNA from 9 species